GGUGAACGCUGGCGGUGUGCCUAAUACAUGCAAGUCGAACGGCCGCACGGUGAGCGUUUGCUUUUCCGGGUAGCGACUGGCGGACGGGUGACAAUUCCAUAAUCUUCUUCUUUUACUUGGAGGAUAUCGUAGAACAGCUUACGAUACCACAGAAUACGAUCAACGGGUUGAAGCAAUGGAUAAUAGGGGUUUGCCCGUUUGUCUUAGCCGGUGUCGGAUUAGCUAGGUUGCGGGGUAAAGCCUCACCUAUGCGACGAUCCGAAGCUGAUCUGAGAGGAUGGUCGGCCACACUGGAACUGAGACACGGUCCAGACUCCGACGGGAGGCAGCAGUGGGGAAGAUUGAGCAAUGGGCGAAAGCCUGAUGCAGCAAGGCCGCGUGUGUGAGGAAGGUCUUCGGGUUGUAAAACUCUGUUAUUGGGAAAGAAAAGAAGCGUAUUAAGGCCUAGCGGUCCUGACGGUACCCAAACAAAAAGCAACGGCUAACUACGUG
rnacentral:rRNA from 1 species